rnacentral:rRNA from 1 species
ACGAACGCUGGCGGCGUGCCUAACACAUGCAAGUCGAACGAGAAAGUCCUUCGGGAUGAGUAGAGUGGCGCACGGGUGAGUAAUAGAUAGGAACGUACCGAGUAGAGGGGGAUAACCAAGGGAAACUUUGGCUAAUACCGCAUGAGGUCGUAAGACGAAAGUGGGCGUCCGCAAGGGGCUCAUGCUAUUUGAGCGGCCUAUCUCCCAUUAGCUAGUUGGUUGGGUAAAGGCUGACCAAGGCGACGAUGGGUAGCUGGUCUGAGAGGAUGAUCAGCCACACUGGAACUGAGAAACGGUCCAGACUCCUACGGGAGGCAGCAGUGGGGAAUCUUGCACAAUGGGGGCAACCCUGAUGCAGCAACGCCGCGUGAGUGAAGAAGGUCUUUGGAUUGUAAAGCUCUUUCGGCUAGAAAGAAGGGUAUUUUACCUAAUACGUAAGAUAUUUGACGGUACUAGAAGAAGAAGCACUGGCUAAUUCCGU